ACUCCUGCUGGACCAAAGGGAAGGGUGUUUGUUAGCCCUCUUGCAAAGAAGUUGGCAGUAGAGAAAGGGAUUGAUCUUACACAAGUAAAAGGUACAGGACCAGAUGGUGAAUCACCAAGAAGGAUAUUGACUCUUUUGUGCCUAGUAAAGCUGCUCCUGCUCCAGCAGCUGUUGUGCCUCCCACAGGUCCUGGAAUGGCACCAGUUCCUACAGAUGUCUUCACAGAUAUCCCAAUUAGAAACAUUCGUCAGGUUAUUGCACAACGAUUAAUGCAAUCAAAGCAAACAAUACCUCAUUAUUACCUUUCUAUAGAUGUAAAUAUGGGAGAAGUUUUGUUGGUACGGAAAGAACUUAAUAAGAUUUUAGAAGGGAGAAGCAAAAUUUCUGUCAAUGACUUCAUCAUAAAAGCUUCAACUUUGGCAUGUCUAAAAGUUCCCGAAGCAAAUUCUUCUUGGAUGGACACAGUUAUGAGACAAAAUCACAUUGUUGAUAUCAGUGUUGCAGUCAGUACUCCUAUAGGACUCAUCACACCUAUUGUGUUUAAUGCACAUAUAAAAGGGCUGGAAACCAUUACUAAUGAUGAUGUUUCUUUAGCAACCAAAGCAAGAGAGGGUAAACUACAGCCACACGAAUUCCAAGGUGGCACUUUUACGAUCUCCAAUUUAGGAAUGUUUGGAAUUAAGAAUUUCUCUGCUAUUAUUAACCUACCUCAAGCAUGUAUUUUGGCAAUUGGUGCUUCAGAGGAUAAACUGGUUCCCACAGAUAAUGAAAAAGGGUUUGAUGUGGCUAGCAUGAUGUCUGUUACACUCAGUUGUGAUCACCAGGUGGUGGAUGGAGCAGUUAGAGACCAGUGGCUUGCUGAGUUUAGAAAGUACCUUGAAAAACCUAUCACCAUGUUGUUGUAACUAACUCAAUAGAAAGAAAAGAGA